AUUGAACGCUGGCGGCAGGCCUAACACAUGCAAGUCGAACGAGUGGCGGACGGGUGAGUAAUGUCUGGGAAACUGACCGAUGGAGGGGGAUAACUACUGGAAACGGUAGCUAAUACCGCAUACCAUCGGAUGUGCACAGAUGGGAGUAGCGAGUAGGUGGGGUAACGGAUAACCUAGGCGACGAUCCCUAGCUGGUCUGAGAGGAUGACCAGCCACACUGUAACUGAGACACGGUCCAGAAUCCUACGGGAGGCAGCAGUGGGGAAGAUUGCACAAGGGGCGAAAGCCUUAUGCAGCCAUGCCGCGUGUAUGAAGAAGGCCUUCGGGUUGUAAAGUACUUUCAGCGAGGAGGCGUUACUCGCAGAAGAAGCACCGGCUAACUCCGUGCCAGCAGCCGCGGUAAUAC
rnacentral:rRNA from 1 species